rnacentral:rRNA from 1 species
GACGAACGCUGGCGGCGUGCUUAACACAUGCAAGUCGAACGCUGAAGCUUGGUGCUUGCCCUGGGUGGAUGAGUGGCGAACGGGUGAGUAAUACGUGAGUAACCUGCCCUUGACUCUGGGAUAAGCCUGGGAAACUGGGUCUAAUACUGGAUACGACAUGUCACCGCAUGGUGGUGUGUGGAAAGGGUUUUACUGGUUUUGGAUGGGCUCACGGCCUAUCAGCUUGUUGGUGGGGUAAUGGCUCACCAAGGCGACGACGGGUAGCCGGCCUGAGAGGGUGACCGGCCACACUGGGACUGAGACACGGCCCAGACUCCCACGGGAGGCAGCAGUGGGGAAUAUUGCACAAUGGGCGGAAGCCUGAUGCAGCGACGCCGCGUGAGGGAUGACGGCCUUCGGGUUGUAAACCUCUUUCAGCACGGAAGAAGCGAAAGUGACGGUACGUGCAGAAGAAGCGCCGGCUAACUACGUG